CUUCUUGCUGCCUUCACCUGCUUCACACUCCUCUUUGUCUCUCUCUCUUACUGAGAAAAGCUAAGCUCACUGGCUUCAAAUGAUGGCCGAGAUCGAGGUGAAGAACGAUGCCUCUGCUGAUUCCCCGACUUCGGUUCUUGAAGACGAGGAGAAAUGCAAGGACAAAACUGGAGACAAGUUGGAAAAAGAUGUCCUUCCAGAUGCAAAAAAUGGUGAUUCUUCUCCUGUAUCUAGAGCCAUGGCAGAGGAGGAAGAAAAGCUCUUGGAAGCACGAACGAGACAAGAAGAAGAGGAAGAGCCAGGGGAGGCACCUCACUUAAAUGGCACCCAGUUUACCAAAUUAGAUGAGCUUCUAACACAAACGCAACUCUACUCAGAGUUUUUGCUGGAAAAGAUGGAUGAAAUCACUCGUAAUGGAGUGGAGCAGGAGAGUGAAACUGCUGAGAAAAAGAGAGGUCGUGGCGCAAAAAGAAAAUCUGCUGCACAAUACAAUUCUAGGAAAGCCAAGAGAGCUGUUGCUGCGAUGCUGACAAGAUCUAAAGAAGCUGAAAAUAUUGAAGAUGGAGAUCUAACUGAGGAAGAAAGACUUGAGAAAGAGCAGAGAGAGCUAGUACCUUUGUUGACUGGUGGAAAGUUAAAGUCCUAUCAAAUCAAAGGUGUGAAGUGGUUGAUUUCCUUGUGGCAAAAUGGGCUCAACGGGAUCCUUGCUGAUCAAAUGGGACUUGGAAAAACUAUUCAAACAAUUGGUUUCCUUGCGCAUCUAAAAGGGAAUGGCUUAGAUGGCCCAUAUAUUGUGAUUGCUCCUCUUUCUACUCUCUCAAAUUGGGUGAAUGAGAUUUCAAGGUUUGCUCCCUCUAUAAAUGCUAUUAUCUAUCAUGGCAGCAAGAAACAAAGGGAUGAGAUAAGGAGAAAAUACAUGCCCAGAUCUAUUGGCCCCAAGUUUCCUGUUGUAGUUACUUCUUAUGAGGUUGCAAUGUUUGAUGCAAAAAAGCAUCUGAGGCAUUACAAUUGGAAAUAUGUUGUGGUUGAUGAGGGACAUCGGUUGAAAAAUUCAAAAUGCAAAUUGCUGAAGGAAUUGAAAUACUUACCCAUGGAAAAUAAGCUCCUGCUGACUGGGACACCUCUGCAGAACAAUUUAGCAGAGCUCUGGUCAUUGUUAAAUUUCAUUUUGCCUGAUAUUUUCCAAUCCCAUGCUGAAUUUGAGUCAUGGUUUGAUCUGUCAGGAAAGGCUAACGGUGAAGCAACGAAGGAGGUGCUGGAAGAGAAGAGAAGGGCACAAGUGGUAGCUAAACUUCAUGCCAUAUUGCGUCCAUUUCUCCUCCGGAGAAUGAAGACUGAUGUUGAGUGGAUGCUUCCUCGGAAAAAAGAGAUAAUUCUAUAUGCUACCUUGACUGAACAUCAAAAGAACUUUCAGGAUCAUUUAGUUAAUAAGACUUUGGAGGGCUAUUUAAGAGAGAAGUUGGAUACAGGGCGUGGUUUGAAAGGAAAGCUCAACAAUUUGAUGAUUCAGCUUCGGAAGAACUGCUACCACCCUGACCUCUUGGAGUCAGCUUUUGAUGGCUCAUAUUUCUACCCACCUGUGGAACAGAUAAUUAAUCAGUGUGGCAAGUUCAGGUUGCUGGACAGAUUGUUGAAUAGGUUAUUUGCACUUGAGCACAAAGUCCUGAUAUUUUCUCAGUGGACUAAGAUUUUGGAUAUAAUGGACUAUUAUUUUAGUGAAAGAGGUUUUGAAGUAUGUAGAAUUGAUGGCAGUGUGCAGUUGGAUGAAAGGAAAAGACAGAUCAAGGAAUUCAAUGAUGUGAAUAGCAACUAUAGGAUAUUUCUUCUCAGCACUAGAGCUGGUGGAUUGGGUAUCAACCUUACUGCAGCAGAUACUUGCAUACUAUAUGACAGUGACUGGAACCCACAAAUGGAUUUGCAGGCCAUGGAUAGAUGUCAUAGAAUUGGCCAGACCAAGCCUGUUCAUGUUUACAGACUUGCAACAGCUCAAUCCAUUGAGGGUCGCAUAUUGAAAAGAGCAUUUAGUAAGUUGAAGCUUGAGCAUGUGGUUAUUGGUAAGGGGCAGUUUCAUCAAGAAAGAACAAAGUCUAAUUUGAUGAAUGAUUUGGAGGUUUGUUGUAUCUUCCUUGUCUCUCUUUUUCUAUUAUGUUAUUUAUCAUUUUGGUGGAGGUGGUUGCGCGCCUUAUCUACUAAUUGGGAGGGUUAUAUUUUCUUUGGUCAUAUUUGUUGUCAUUUAUUGUUCUACUUUUGAACUUGCCUUCUUAUUGCACUGGUUGUUUAUUGAUGAAAUGACAAUAUAGGUAAUAAAACCUUGACUGUUGAAAUGACAAUGUAGGUAAUGAAAAAUGAAAGUAUUGUAAUACUUAAGGCUGGAUAUUUAAUUGAUUGUUGACCAUGGUUGACCAUAUUGGGAUGUGAUUUGCUGAUUUAUUAGCCGCAAUGACGAGCUUCACUAGUUAUAUUCUCUUUCAAAGUUGGAUUUUUCUUACAAAAUUUUCAGGAGGAGGACUUGUUGGCACUGCUUCGAGAUGAAGAAAGUGCUGAAGACAAGUUGAUACAGACAGAUAUUAGUGAUGAGGAUUUGGAAAGGGUAAUGGAUCGCAGUGACCUGAUUGGAGGCUUAUCAGAUGACCAAAAUGAUGAUGCUGUGAUUGGCACAAUCCCCCUUAAAGGGCCUGGUUGGGAGGUGGUAAUACCGACUGCAACUGGGAGCAUGCUUUCCACCCUUAACAGCUAAGGGGUUGCUUUAGUGAAUUGGGAUAGGUUGUCUAUAGAUUGGGAUGUUAUGCCAUUUUGGGGUUGAUCUUGGAGGAUGCUUUGUUUGGGCUCUAAUUUUUGAGAGCAGAAUGUUGCUCUGGGAACGUCUUCCAUUUUGGAAAUGUUAUGGAAAGGGCUCUAAUUCUUUAGAAGAAGUGAUUUUUGUAAUGGUCUAUUAUCUGAUGAAUUAUCAUCUUCAGAUACAAUAUGUGAAACGUGAAACCAUUUGAAUGCUUAUCUAAGCUGAAAUCGUGUUGUGUUUAAA
rnacentral:misc_RNA from 1 species